AUGCUUGCUUUGACGGCACAUAUACUAAAAUUGUAAGAUAUAGAGAUUAGCACAACCCCUGUGCAAGGAGGACACACAAAUUUAUGAAUCAUUCCUAUUUUGA
rnacentral:snRNA from 1 species